CCUACGGGGGGCAGCAGUGGGGAAUAUUGCACAAUGGGGGAAACCCUGAUGCAGCGACGCCGCGUGAGCGAUGAAGUAUUUCGCUAUGUAAAGCUCUAUCAGCAGGGAAGAAAAUGACGGUACCUGACUAAGAAGCCCCGGCUAACUACGUGCCAGCAGCCGCGGUAAUACGUAGGGGGCAAGCGUUAUCCGGAUUUACUGGGUGUAAAGGGAGCGUAGACGGCUGUGCAAGCCAGAUGUGAAAGCCCGGCGCUCAACCCCGGGACUGCAUUUGGAACUGUGUGGCUGGAGUGUCGGAGAGGCGGGCGGAAUGCCUAGUGUAGCGGUGAAAUGCGUAGAUAUUAGGAGGAACACCAGUGGCGAAGGCGGCCUGCUGGACGAUGACUGACGUUGAGGCUCGAAAGCGUGGGGAGCAAACAGGAUUAGAUACCCUUGUAGUC
rnacentral:rRNA from 1 species